UCGGGAAUUUUGGGCAAUGGGCGAAAGCCUGACCCAGCAACGCCGCGUGAAGGAUGAAGUCUCUCGGGAUGUAAACUUCGUAAGAAUAGGAAGAAUAAAUGACGGUACUAUUUGUAAGGUCCGGCUAACUACGUGCCAGCAGCCGCGGUAAUACGUAGGGACCAAGCGUUGUUCGGAUUUACUGGGCGUAAAGGGCGCGUAGGCGGCGUGGUAAGUCACUUGUGAAAUCUCCGAGCUUAACUCGGAACGGUCAAGUGAUACUGCUGUGCUAGAGUACAGAAGGGGCAAUCGGAAUUCUUGGUGUAGCGGUGAAAUGCGUAGAUAUCAAGAGGAACACCUGAGGUGAAGACGGGUUGCUGGGCUGAUACUGACGCUGAGGCGCGAAAGCUAGGGUAGCAAACAGGAUUAGAUACCAGUAGUCCCUGAGCGGGCUGGCAAGGCGCAU
rnacentral:rRNA from 1 species